rnacentral:rRNA from 1 species
AACGAACGCUGGCGGCAUGCCUAACACAUGCAAGUCGAACGAGACCUUCGGGUCUAGUGGCGCACGGGUUCGUAACGCGUGGGAACCUGCCCUUAGGUUCGGAAUAACUCCCCGAAAGGGGUGCUAAUACCGGAUAAUGUCUUCUGCCCAAAGAUUUAUCGCCUUUGGAUGGGCCCGCGUGGAAUUAGCUAGUUGGUAGGGUAAAAGCAUACCAAGGCGCGGAUCCAUAGCUGGUCUGAGAGGAUGAUCAGCCACACUGGGACUGAGACACGGCCCAGACUCCUACGGGAGGCAGCAGUGGGGAAUAUUGGAACAUGGGCGAAAGCCUGAUCCAGCAAUGCCGCGUGAGUGAUGAAGGCAUUAGGGUUGUAAAGCUCUUUUAACCGGGAUGAUAAUGACAGUACCGGGAGAAUAAGCCCCGGCUAACUCCGUG